AAUAGAUACCCAGGUAGUCCACGCCCUAAACUAUGUCGACUAGUUGUUGGGGGAGUCUGUCCCUCAGUAACGUAGCUAACGCGUGAAGUCGACCGCCUGGGGAGUACGGUCGCAAGAUUAAAACUCAAAGGAAUUGACGGGGACCCGCACAAGCGGUGGAUUAUGUGGAUUAAUUCGAUGCAACGCGAAGAACCUUACCUACCCUUGACAUGCCAGGAACCUCGCAGAGAUGUGAGGGUGCCCGAAAGGGAACCUGGACACAGGUGCUGCAUGGCUGUCGUCAGCUCGUGUCGUGAGAUGUUGGGUUAAGUCCCGCAACGAGCGCAACCCUUGUCAUUAGUUGCUACGUAAGGGCACUCUAAUGAGACUGCCGGUGACAAACCGGAGGAAGGUGGGGAUGACGUCAGGUCAUCAUGGCCCUUAUGGGUAGGGCUACACACGUCAUACAAUGGCCGGUACAGAGGGUUGCCAACCCGCGAGGGGGAGCCAAUCCCAGAAAACCGGUCGUAGUCCGGAUCGCAGUCUGCAA
rnacentral:rRNA from 1 species